ACUUCCUGCGGGGUCGCCCGGCCGGCGGCGCGGAAGGUCUCCUGUGCCUGCUCACGGGAGCUGUUUUGUAUUGCUCUUCUGGUGUCCUGGCAUCCCUUUUCCCACCCACGACGCCCACAUUCUGAGAUCCUUUCAUUCCCCCUCCCACCCUUAGCUCCUCAGUUUUUUGCUUUCACUCCCUUCCUGAAGUAGGCACGCACACUUAAGACUAAUAAUCCACCUUUGUUUCUUCUGCUGAACUCACCUCUGUUUUUUUUGUUUGUUUUUCUGUUUUUUGUUUUUUUUGAGAGGGAGUUUCGCUCUUGUUUCCCAGGCUGGAGUGCAAUGGCGCGAUCUCCGCUCACCGCAACCUCCGCCUCCUGGGUUCAAGCGAUUCUCCUGCCUCAGCCUCCCGAGUUGCUGGGAUUACGGGCGCAUGCCACCAGGGCCGGCUAAUUUUGUAUUUUUGGUAGACGGGGUUUCUCCCUGUUGGUCAGGCUGGUCUCAAACUCGCGACCUCAGGUGAUCCGCCCACCUCGGCCUCCCAAAGUGCUGGGAUUACAAGCGUGAGCCACCGCGCCCGGCCUAACUCACCUCUGGUUUUAUUCCACCGAAUUAACAUGGCAGCACCAUCCACCCACUACCGCCUUAACUGGACAAUUGUAGCUCUUAAAGUGCUCCAGCUGUGGCAAUUUAGAAACUGCACUACGCAUUUCUUUUUUCUGUUUUCAGUGCAGUUAGAGUGCAAAUGUAACAAAAUUAAAACCUAACAAUGCAAAAUCUUGGUUCUGAUUCCAGUAUGACCACUAAUUAGUUGAG
rnacentral:lncRNA from 1 species